UCAAAAGCUUAUGGGAGUAAUUGUCCAGCAUUCCCUCCCUGCCUGCCUGCCUGAUUCUGAUCUCGUUUAUGCCCCCUGGAUUUCUCUCUUCUGCUCUGCCCACAUCGAAUAUUCUCUUGGCUUCUGAUUUCUGGACGGCGACCUUGCUUCUGCCAACUGACUACCGCUCUCUGCCUUACCCCUGGAUCUGUUUGCUUGAAUCUGCCUUCCCGUUCAUGACCUUGCUUCUGUGCUCUGACCGACGAUUCAAGCCUCUCCCUCGGAUCCUGUCACCUGACUCUGCUUCCCUGGCUUUGACCCAGUUUCUGUCCCCUGACUAGCACACUCUGCUCACUCACUGGGAGUACAAACCUGAGAGCCCGUGUGGCAUUGUCCUGCUGUCACUGGAUCAUCACACUGAGGAGCCAAAAUUCAGUUUCCUUAUCUCUCAAUGGAUACUGAAAAGAGGUUCCUGAGCCUGCCGCUGGUGGUUUCCUGUCGAUCAUCUUCCAGAGUUUUCAAUAAAUCUUUUGAAUCUUA